GAAAAACCAGAAAAGAAAUGGGAA
rnacentral:rRNA from 1 species